AUUUAGGAAAUCUACCCUUUUCUACGAAGAAAUAAAACAUAAACAUGGCAUCAAAUGACGCAAUUCCGAUGGAAAUUCAGUCGGAUAUACCACAGCAGAAGUCGAAGAAAUUAUGGCUAAUGUUAAGCUACAAUCAUGAAUAUGAAAAG